AUGUACACAGCAAGAAUCACCUUCUCACUUUGUGUGUGUGUGUGUGUGUGUGUGUGUGUGUGUGUGUGUGUGUGUGUGUGUGUGUGUGUGUGUGUGUGUGUGUGUGUUUUGAAACAUAUGGUUGGAGGGAGCAAGAAAGACUGUCCCACAUUUACAAAGAAACAAAUGGUCAAUUUGACCCGCAACAUAACAGGAGGGUUAAAUGUAGUUGACACUACAAAGGGUUGCAUUUUGGGUAACUGAGUUUAUUCUGUGUUUAUCUCCCGCAGUUUUAGGUUUGCCACUGCUAUAUACACCCUUUUGCACUGAAGCACGCAAGAUGGACUCCAGCCUGUUACCUUACUUAGAUAUUGUACAACAAAUGAUGCAUAGUGGCUGUAGUGAUGUGGACAUAAAAAAACACUUGAUAUUUGAAUGUGGCUUGCGUAGAGGAGCGUCCGUGGCCAAUAUUCGGAAGUUUUGUAAAGACCACGGGUUAAAAAGACAGCGAGUGACGGACCAACAACUUGAAGCUGCAGUCUCCAAUGCAAUAACACAGGGUGGUCCUACCUAUGGCAGGAAAAUGAUGACUGGGAGUCUUGCAGCUGCAGGUGUCUUCGCAUCAGAGGGUCAGACUUUGGCACCAACCCAUUUCCAAGUUUACAGGACCAGGAAGCUGCAGUGAGGGAAUUUUCUCUGCAGUGCCCUGAUACAAGUGUCCUGCUGGACAAUGCAGUGAAUAAUCUGCCACAACCGUUCAAAGAUGGACUCAAAGGCCUCAUCGACAUCUCAAGGAGAAAUUGUCAACGCUGAUGUUUUUUUGUGUGUCUAAGUUGUUCUUGUCUGUGCUUUUUAAUUGGUUCAACUGACGGAAUGUUUUUUUCUUUUCUUCAAAUGUUGGGGGUCUAAAGGGAGAAAUAUGUUCUUUUUGAAUAAACACUUCUGUUGUCUUCAAAGUCUGGCACGAAU